AUUGAACGCUGGCGGCAUGCCUUACACGUGCAAGUCGAACGGCAGCGCGGGAGCAAUCCUGGCGGCGAGUGGCGAACGGGUGAGUAAUAUAUCGGAACGUGCCCAGUAGUGGGGGAUAGCCCGGCGAAAGCCGGAUUAAUACCGCAUACGACCUACGGGUGAAAGGGGGGGAUCGCAAGACCUCUCGCUAUUGGAGCGGCCGAUAUCAGAUUAGGUAGUUGGUGGGGUAAAGGCCUACCAAGCCUGCGAUCUGUAGUUGGUCUGAGAGGACGACCAGCCGCACUGGGACUGAGACACGGCCCAGACUCCUCCGGGAGGCAGCAGUGGGGAAUUUUGGACAAUGGGCGCAAGCCUGAUCCAGCAAUGCCGCGUGCAGUAAGAAGGCCUUCGGGUUGUAAACUGCUUUUGUCAUGGAAGAAAUCCUCUAGGCUAAUACCUUGGGGGGAUGACGGUACCUGAAGAAUAAGCACCGGCUAACUACGUGCCAGCAGCCGCCGUAAGAC
rnacentral:rRNA from 1 species